rnacentral:lncRNA from 1 species
CUCCUGUGCUUUCUCACAGGAUUGAUUUGGAAGAAUGAUUCUCGAUUUAGAAGCUUUAAGUUGGAAGAGUUGACCAAGGUUUGACUGUUGUAUAAAUGAACUCGAAAUCGGGUUUUGAUGGUUCCGAUAAGUUUAUAUUAUGAUUUUGGACUUGUACGUAUGUUCAGAUUUGGUUUUGGAGGUUCUUGGAAGAAUUCCACACGAUUUGUCGAAAGUUGGCUAUUUGAAGAACUUAAGAGUUCAUAAGUUUAACAA